AUCUAUGGCCGAAUGGUCUAAGGCGUUAUAUUUAAGACCUAAAGGACACUAGUCCGCGCGGGUUCAAACCUCACUGGAUG
rnacentral:tRNA from 1 species